UAAAGUUUAUUUUAAGAAAAAUAUUUAAUUUACAUUUAAAAGAUUAUUAUUUAGGGUAAACUUUAA
rnacentral:tRNA from 1 species